rnacentral:pre_miRNA from 1 species
CAAGUACUCCUUCCAUCCGGAAUUACUUGUCAUCAAAAUGGAUGUGUCUAGAACUAAAAUACAUCUAGAUACAUCCAUUUCAAUGACAAGUAUUUCCGGACAGAGGGAGUACAAG